CUUACAGAGUUUAUUGGCAUUCUGUCCACCUCCAAAUGAUCAUCAAAGCAAAGCCCCCCAUAAACCCUAGUCCUUGAUUUGAAAGUGGAGGUGGGCAUCCUGUCAACAAAGCUCUGUUGG
rnacentral:pre_miRNA from 1 species